rnacentral:ncRNA from 1 species
AAAAAGUUUUAUUUUGGUUUAAAGUUUUAUUAGUUGUUAAAUUUAUAUAUAAAUUAUUGAUAGUUAUAAAUUAAAUAUUUAUAAUUUAUGUUUAGGAUGUAAUAAAUAAUAUUAUAAAUUAAUGAAAAUUAGAUAUAGUAAUUCAAUUUAGUAUUAACUAAAUUUAUGCCAGCAGUUGCGGUUAUAUAAAUAAUACAGAUAAAUCUUAUUAAUAUUAAUUAAUUGGAUAUUAAGGAAAUUAAAAAGUAUACUUAUUAGGUGAAAUUUUAAGUAUAUUGAAUUUUCUAGAGAGUUAAUGAAGUUAAGAAAUUUGUAAUGAGACUAGGAUUAGAUACCCUAUUAUUUAGAAAUGUGAAUUUUGAUAUUAAAUUAUUAAUAGUUAAGUUCUUAAAAAUUAAAAAAUUUGGCGGUAUUUUAGUCUAUUUAAAGGAACUUGUUGUGUAAUUGAUAGCCCACGAUUAAAGAUAUUUAUGUUAAAAGUUUAUAUAUCGUCGUAGUUGAAUAUUUUAGUAGAAUUAUAAUAUUCAAAUUUUUAUUAAUAAAAAAGAAAUCAGAUCAUGAUAUAGCGUAUACAUAAAAAUAAAUGAGUUACAUUUCUUAGAAUUGGAUUAUAAUUUGUAAAAUUAUAUAAAAUUGGAUUUAAAAGUAAUUUUUUUUAAUUAAAAAAAAUGAUUUUAGCUCUAAAAUAUGUACAUAUCGCCCGUCGCUUUCGUAUAAAAUGAGAUAAGUCGUAACAAAGUAGAUUUAUUGGAAAAUGAAUCUAGAAGAUC